UGCUCUACUCAUGACUAGUAACAUUUCAGAAAUGUGUGGGCAACUGUACUUCUGGUGUCAUGUAUAAUUUUUACUCUUGUUACUUUAUGAGAAAUUUCAAUUAUUAGGAUCACAGAUCUGAUGGGUAUUAAAUUGACUCUUGAAAUUUCCCUUAAUAAAAAUUGAAAUUGUAGAUAUAUUUUAAUAAUGAAAGUGUUAAAAUAAAAUGAUAUUCAGCUGUAACAUCUGGCCUUCCAUUAGAUCACGACUGCUGUGAGAGCAGAGACUGAAUCUGUUUUGGCUCACCAUCGUAUAACCAUCCUUCAGAAGACUGCCUGCAUGAAAGAGGCACCUUGUGAAUCGAUGAAUGAUACUUGAAUCCAGAAAGUUUAGCUAAUAUCCAUCAUAGAUACAUAGGAGUUUAAAUGUUUGGAGCCCCAGUGUACCAUGCAAGUCUAUUCUUCUGGGUGUUAAUUUUCUGAGACAUCAUGUUACGGGCUUUAGAGCUUUUGCUUUUUUUUUUUUUUUUCCUCUUUAAUUAAGAAGACUGUUGAUCUAAAGUAUUUGAAAAUAUGAAAGUCCAGAAGACUAAAUGCCACAGUAAAGGCAAUAAAUACAACUUUUGCUUACCUAAGACAUUAAUUUUUGCAAUGUAAUAUAUACAUUUUUAACCUAGUCUCAUCAAGAUCUCCAACACUGACUCACGGAAGACAAAAUGUCAGGUUAAUUGAGCCUAUCAAGAAAGGGCUUGACUAUCUUGGGAGGUUCCAUGUCAUCACCUGUCCUGGUCCAGCCAAGCCAAAUGGGAUUGGAAAUCUUAGAG
rnacentral:lncRNA from 12 species